AAUUAAUUAUUUUGAGAGUUGAUUUAAUUUAAUUUUUAUUCAUUUUAUUUGAUCAUUUUAUCGUCGGGGGUUGAAAGAAGCUUCAUCAACCUCCUUCACGAUCGUGCUCGCAGGAAGAGGAAUUCCGGUCGUACCUUGGGGUGUUGUUCCCGAUUAAUCCCACACAUAAAGACGGAAAUACGCCUUAGGGCAGUGCCUCGCAUGCUUCCGGAUCAAUUAAAUAUUUAUUUAGAUUUAGUGAUCAUCUGUAAGUUGAUUUAUUUAUUUUCAUAAUAAAAUUUAGUUAGAUUUAAAUCACAAUUAGAUUUCUGUGCGACAUUUGUUCCAACAAUCUCUUCAUUGAUUUUAAAAUUAGUUAAUAUCUUCAUUGAUUUC
rnacentral:lncRNA from 1 species